UGCAGUCGACGGCAGCACAGAGGAGCUUGCUCCUUGGGUGGCGAGUGGCGGACGGGUGAGGAAUACAUCGGAAUCUACUUUUUCGUGGGGGAUAACGUAGGGAAACUUACGCUAAUACCGCAUACGACCUACGGGUGAAAGCAGGGGACCUUCGGGCCUUGCGCGAUUGAAUGAGCCGAUGUCGGAUUAGCUAGUUGGCGGGGUAAAGGCCCACCAAGGCGACGAUCCGUAGCUGGUCUGAGAGGAUGAUCAGCCACACUGGAACUGAGACACGGUCCAGACUCCUACGGGAGGCAGCAGUGGGGAAUAUUGGACAAUGGGCGCAAGCCUGAUCCAGCCAUACCGCGUGGGUGAAGAAGGCCUUCGGGUUGUAAAGCCCUUUUGUUGGGAAAGAAAUCCAGCUGGCUAAUACCCGGUUGGGAUGACGGUACCCAAAGAAUAAGCACCGGCUAACUUCGUGCCAGCAGCCGCGGUAAUACGAAGGGUGCAAGCGUUACUCGGAAUUACUGGGCGUAAAGCGUGCGUAGGUGGUCGUUUAAGUCCGUUGUGAAAGCCCUGGGCUCAACCUGGGAACUGCAGUGGAUACUGGGCGACUAGAGUGUGGUAGAGGGUAGCGGAAUUCCUGGUGUAGCAGUGAAAUGCGUAGAGAUCAAGAGGAACAUCCAUGGCGAAGCAGCUACCUGGACCAACACUGACACUGAGGCACGAAAGCGUGGGGAGCAAACAAGAUUAGAUACCCUGGUAGUCCACGCCCUAAACGAUGCGAACUGGAUGUUGGGUGCAAUUUGGGCACGCAGUAUCGAAGCUAACGCGUUAAGUUCGCCGGCCUGGGGGAGUACGGUCGCAAGACUGAAACUCAAAGGAAUUGACGGGGGCCCGCACAAGCGGUGGAGUAUGUGGUUUAAUUCGAUGCAACGCGAAGACCUUACCUGGCCUUGACAUGUCGAGAACUUUCCAGA
rnacentral:rRNA from 1 species